AUGCCAAUGCGAGAUGCUGCCCGAGCUGCCUGCGUUUCUCGUACCUUUAUGUGUUCCUGGAGACUCCAUACCAGCCUCACCUUCAGUAGAAAAACACUAGGCAUGGAUGAUAAUGUGUGUGAAAUGGAUGGAAAAGCAAAAGAUCUCACCGGCAAAGUUGACAAAAUUUGGAUAGAACACCCAGGCAUUGGUGUGAAGAAAGUCAAAAUUAAGUUCUAUGAUUACAGGACCAGGGCCUAUUAUCUUGAUCGUUGGCUUCAGAUUGCCGUCACACCUGGGAUUGAAGAACUCACUGUUAUUCCUUCUGUGAGCAAACAAAAGUUCAACUUCCCAUGUUCACUUCUAUCUGAAGGAGGUGAAAACUCGAUUCGGUGUCUGAAUCUUUACCAGUGUGUGUUCUGUCCUACAGUCAGACUUGGUUUGAGAAGUUUGACUCAACUUGAGCUGUUUGAUGUCCGUAUUACAGGAAAUGAGUUAGCCUGCCUUCUAGACAAUUCUGUUGCUUUGCAGCAUUUGGCAGUCAUGUAUUGCAGUAAGAUUAUUAGACUGAAGAUACCUUCCCUGCUGCAGCGACUCAUCACCCUUGAGGUGUCUAACUGUAAGAGGCUGCAAGCAAUAGAGAUCGAAGCUCAAUGUCUCUCCAAUUUUCGGUUUAUCAGUGACCACCUAGCACAUCUCUCGUUUGGAGAAGCAUUACAGUUGAAGACCCUAGUCAUGCAGUGUCGUGGUGCUCUCUGUUAUGCUCGUGCCAAUCUUCCAUCCAGCUUGUCAAAUCUUGAAACUCUUUCUAUAUGUUCACAUUGUGAGAUGGUCACUACACCAAUGAUUGGUAGCAAAUUUUCAUUCCUCAAGCACUUGACUGUUGUUCUUGCUGCGCCCCCAGCCUAUGAUUAUUGUUCUCUCAUAUCAUUUUUUGAUGCUUCUCCUUCAUUGGAGACAUUCAUCCUGAAUGUGGUGUGGAACAGCAUGCGGCAUCCCUCCAUUUUUACAGACCCUUCAGGUACGAGGCAGAUGCCGGAGCACCGCCAUGACAAGCUCAAGAGUGUGACUAUUACUGGUUUCUCCUCUGCAAAGUGCUUGGCUGAGCUAACAUGUCACAUUCUUGAGAGUGCAAAGUCACUUGAGUAUCUUACAUUGGACACCACCGAUGGAAAUCGUGUCUUUAUGUGUUCUGUCAACGGAUCUGACAAAUGCUAUUGUAGCCCGAUGGGCAGGGAUGCCAUCGUGGAAGCUCGUCGAGGGCUCUUGGCCAUCAGGACAUACAUCGAGGGAAUUGUUCCUUCUAAAGUGAAGUUCACUCUUGUGGAGCCUUGCAGCCGGUGCCAUGUUGUUGAGCUCUAG
rnacentral:rRNA from 1 species